ensembl:lncRNA
UGCGGUGCUGCCCUCUGGCGGACAUCUUCUGUCACUACAUUAAGUGGAUCGAUAGAUACAAAUCAAUUCUUCGAGUCUUUUGCUUGCAAAUAACUUUAUGUUUUCAUGUCAUUUACAUGUAUUUACAUGACUCAUUUGAUAAAAAGAAUCAUCCCGGGAGGAGUUACCGAGCGGGACCGGUGACCGUGGGUUCGAGCCCCGCCUCGGAGGAGCAGACAGCCGCGUUCGUCCUGUUGGGACCCGACUGAGAGGACACCUUAGAAGACACCUUGGUGUUAAAUUACUGUCCCUUCCUAAAACCUCUAUGUGGUUUUAUUAAGAGGGUUUUAAACUCCAAAUCAGAUUUGAUUUUCAAAGUGAGCAGAGAGCAAAGUUAAAAUAAUUGAAACUCUUCUAACUCAGGGAACUUUUUUAGAAUUCAGGCUUUUGAGGAGUUUAAUGCCUCUUUUACUUUAUUAACCUUUAACUCAAACUACGACCCAGCGAUGAUUCUGACAGCUGGAUCCUUAAUUAGGUCAAAUAUUUUAGAACAAGAGCCUCAAUUGUGAAUGAUGAUGUGUUUUCAAACUGGAUAUCUUUACCCUUCUGAGAGUUUGUUGGAUUAAAAGAGACAUUUGCCACUAUCAACAUUCUAGUAUUGUCCGGGACAUAUUGAUUUAUAUCGUGACAUUGAGUCUGUAUCUAUCAUAAUAUAUCCAAAUAACAAGGCGGCAUCGCAGUGAAAAGCGAUUUUCCCAUUUAUUCAUCCACACAUAUUCAUGGUCUCGAUUUCGAGGUGUAUCUGGGUUUUUCUGAAGGACUCGUGGGCCCGUCUGUGUGCUCCUCCUCCCCCUCCUCCCCCUCCUCCCUCACUGCCGUCCCUCCGUGUUCAGGACGUUCUUGAGGAGCGUGAGCAGCGGCCUCGGGUCGCGCUCGUCCCAGCUCCUCAUGAAGCCGCCGUAGCGCUUGCUGGCCGGCGGGCCGCUCCAGCGGAAGUGCUUCAUCUUGUAGGCGCCGUCCUUCUUCUCGUGGUGGUCACCUGGGAGCUCCUCCUCCUCCCCCUCCUCCUCCCCCUCCUCCCGCUGAUGCUGCUGCGCCUUCUUCUCGUCCUCCAUCAGCUCGCGCCUCCUCAUCUCCCCGGGGGGGUACAGCUCGGCCGACUCCUCCUCCACGCCGUUGGCGGAAGUGCUCCAUGGAGUAGGAGCGCUUGGCCUGCGGGGAGGAGGAGGCGGCUGGAGGUGGGCCGCGCCCGGGACGGAGGAGGAGGCGGGCAGAUGUUUGAAACCAACGCAGGAGGAGCGAUCCGGGGCGACUCCCCACGGAAGCGUGAGA